rnacentral:rRNA from 1 species
UCGCCCUUAGAGUUGAUCCUGGCUCAGGAUGAACGCUGGCGGCGUGCUUAAUAGAUGCAAGUCGAGCGGAGAUGGCAUUAAUGUGAGUCUUAUCCGGCGGACAGGGUGAUGAUAACGCGUAUGCGAUCUGUCUUGCCCAGAGGGAUACACCGGGAAACUGGUGCUAAUACCACCUGAUAUCAUAACACGGCAUCUUGAAAAUGAUCAAGAGGAGAAAUCCGGUGCAAGAUGGGCCUGCGUCCGAUUAAUUAAUUGGUGGAGUAACGGCUCACCAAGGCGACGAUCGGUUACCGAACUGAAAAGUUUAUCGGCCACAUUGGGACUGAAACACGGGCCAAACUCCUACGGGAAGCAGCAGUGGGGAAUAUUGCGCCAUGGGGGGAACCCUGGACGCAGCAACGCCGCGUUAAUGAAGAAGGCCUUCGGGUUUGUAAACUUCUUUGAUUGGGGAAUGAAAACAAUGACGGUACCCAAGGAACAAGCCACGGUUAACUACUUGCCAGCAGCCGCGGUAAUACUUAGAGUGGCAACCGUAUGUCCGAAAUUACGGGGUGUAAAGGGCGUGUAGGCGGCAUGGUAAUUCAGAUGUGAAAUUCCAUGGCUUAACUCUGGAGGUGCAUCUAAAACUAUAAUUCUUAAGUGCUGGAAAGGAAAUCGGAAUUCCUAUUGUAGCGGUGAAAUGC